AUUGAACGCUGGCGGCAUGCCUUACACAUGCAAGUCGAACGGUAACGGGCCUUCGGGUGCCGACGAGUGGCGAACGGGUGAGUAAUACAUCGGAACGGGCCCGAUCUGGGGGGAUAAGGGGGCAAAAGCUUUGCUAAAACCCCAAACGAUCUCGGGAUGAAACCGGGGGACGGCAAGGCUUUGGCGGACGGGGCCGGCGAUGGCAGAUUAGGUAGUUGGUGGGAUAAAAGCUUACCAAGCCGACGAUCUGUAGCUGGUCUGAGAGGAUGAUCAGCCACACUGGGACUGAGACACGGCCCAGACUCCUACGGGAGGCAGCAGUGGGGAAUUUUGGACAAUGGGCGCAAGCCUGAUCCAGCCAUGCCGCGUGCAGGAUGAAGGCCUUCGGGUUGUAAACUGCUUUUGUACGGAACGAAAAGCCUUCUUUUAAUACAGGAGGGUCAUGACGGUACCGUAAGAAUAAGCACCGGCUAACUACGUG
rnacentral:rRNA from 1 species